rnacentral:lncRNA from 1 species
UGUUAGUAGAGACGACACUUCUGGAUUAGAUGAAAGAAUGAGUCAUCAUUAUGUAAUUUACUACCGGAUACCACUUGGUUUCUUUCUAUCCAAUCUAUCAGGAAAGAGGUUCACAACACAGGUGUUGGCAGCAUAGGCCAAAAUGAGUUUAGCUUUUGACAUCUGUCUCUCUGAGCCAGCCUCUGACAGAAUGUCCGGGAGUCACUCAGCAGAGAGGCCACACAGAGCUGGGUCCUGCCCACUGGUGCUUCUGCAGUUCAAGGAGCUCAGGGUUUUGCAGCGCUGAAGUACACGGAGCAAGGGAGCAGAUCCUUCACCUGGAGGCAGGAAGUGGCUGAUCUCCCGGGCAGGUCCUGGCCGUUGUGUCCAGACUAGAGACCUCGGUUGCUCCUCCUAGCCUUGUUUCCGGUCGCGUGGGCUGAGGCCGCCUUCUCAGUUGGACAGCAGAGACGGUCUAGCCCUGCAGAUGAGCUGCGUUGCUGACGGACCACAGUGCUACUUUCAUUUUCCCCUCGAGGGCUUCUGUAGCCUUCGAGCAGAAAGAGAGAUCAAGCUGAUACCAGGGUGCAGGGAACGCCUGUCCGGGAUCUCCGGUGAAACGUCAGAGAUGGCCCAGCCUCUGUUGUCAGCGUUAAAGCUGACUCCCACAGAUGACUGCUCCUGGACGAUGCCACUUUCUGGUUUCCUGCCAGGUCUUCUGGAGACAGGCAUGGGUAAGCCAUCUCUGGGUGGGAGAGGAGGGCGUGGGCCACACCGCCAGCCGGGGUGGGGAGGCCUCCUUCCCCAGCUGCAGCUGCCUCCUCCUGCCAGGCACGCUCCGUCCCACUGGGCCCCCUCAUGCAGUCUCAGCUUCUAA